CAAAGGAAUUGACGGGGGCCCGCACAAUCGGUGGAUUAUGUGGAUUAAUUAGAUGCAACGCGAAAAACCGUACCUGGCCUUGACAUGUACCGAAUUGAGCAGAGAUGUUCAAGUGCUCGAAAGAGAACGGUAACACAGGUGCUGCAUGGCUGUCGUCAGCUCGUGUCGUGAGAUGUUGGGUUAAGUCCCGCAACGAGCGCAACCCUUGCCAUUAAUUGCCAUCAUUUAGUUGGGCACUUUAAUGGGACUGCCGGUGACAAACCGGAGGAAGGUGGGGAUGACGUCAAGUCCUCAUGGCCUUUAUGGCCAGGGCUUCACACGUAAUACAAUGGUCGGUACAGAGGGUUGCCAACCCGCGAGGGGGAGCCAAUCCCAGAAAGCCGAUCGUAGUCCGGAUUGUAGUCUGCAACUCGACUGCAUGAAGUCGGAAUCGCUAGUAAUCGCGGAUCAGCAUGUCGCGGUGAUACGUUCCCGGGCCUUGUACACACCGCCCGUCACACCAUGGGAGUGGUUUUACCAAGAAGUAGUUAGUCUAACC
rnacentral:rRNA from 1 species